rnacentral:rRNA from 1 species
AGGUGAUAUAUUGAAAAAAGGUAUAUGUAAUAAAUAUUAUUUUAAGGAUUACGAAUCAAAAUUUAAAUAAUGAUAAAAAGAUCAUAACUGUAAUAAACAGUGAUCAAUCAAAAUCAUGAAAAUGAAAAAAAUAAAAGCAAGUGGAAUGAAACAUCUGAGUAACUUGUUAAAUAACCAACAGGGAUAAUAUAAGUAACGGUGAGUGAAAAUAUAAAAAUCUUAAAGUAUUGCCAAGAGGUAAGAAUAAAGUAGUUUCCAACUACUAAGAAAAAAAAUUAAAUUUUAGAUUAAAGUACCGCAAGGGAAAGUAAAGAAAUAGAAUAAUAAAGAGCAGUUAUAGUAUAACGUACCUCUUGUAUAAGUGCGACAAGAAGCAUUAAUAAUUAAUGUGGUUAAAUUCCACCAAAUCUUUUCCAUUGAUUUGACCCUAUCUAUACAUGCUGAAGGAGUAAUCAUCAGUGUGAAGCUAUAGAGACAAUGUAACAAUAAUCCCAUCUUUAAUAUAUAUUAAAGGUCGGAGUGCUAGGGUGAGUAAUUCUAUGAUGAACAAAAGUGAACAUGCCUGGAGGCUUCGUAAGAGGUGUAUCAAAUUUAACAACAGCUAGCUGUAGUAAAAAAUGAUAACUGUUAAGUCAAAUCUUUCUUAUACUGGGGUUUGAAAUGGAACAUAUUUAACACGGAGUAAAGCAUAGCAUCUAAGGAAUUUAGAUUAUAUAGUUUAUACUGUAUAAUACUCGGUAUUAAUUUAUUAAAUUAAUUCCGGGAGUAAUGUAAUUAUUAGUGAACUUGGUAAGCCCUAAAUUCUCUAAAUAUGGGAUAUUAUUUAUUUAGAGGUAACAUAUAAAGAGAAAUUGGAAGUUGUUAUAACGAAUUCAGGGUAUAAGAAUGAUUCAAAAAGCGAAUGCAGAUUAGUAAUAGAUCUGAUAGAGUUUUAUAACUUAAUCCGAGAGGAUGCAGACUUGAAUCAAUGUGAUCAUCGUAACUAUUCAGCCCCUAAAAAGGCGAUAUGAUAAUCUGAAGCUUUCGGUAGAUUAUUAUAGGAAUCUUGUCUAUUUAACCGGUUUAACCGGAAUAUUCAUCUAAGGUUCAAAAUUGUAAAUUACAAUUAAGGAAAUAAAGUAGUAUCGAUUUAUUAAUUAAUUAUUUACCUUUGGGUAAAUUUUUAAGGAAGUAAAUUGGCGAAUAAAAGAACUUUUAUAAAUAAAUAAGCUUAUUAAAAUUAUUAUAUGUUAAUAAUGAAAAAAUGUCAAAACAGUAAAUAAGACAAACUAAGUUAAAUGGUUAACUCGAUAAAAUACCAUUAAGUUAUUAGUGUUGCUAAAAAAAAAAUUUAUAUUCGAUUUGAAUGUUUAACACUAUUUCUUGGGUGAAUUAUUUGAUCAAAUAAAAAAACGAAAUAUAAUAAAUAACAAAGAAAAAAAUUUUUAAACUUAAACUUAAACAAAAAAAACAUGAUGAGAAUUUUAAUGGAAUCCAGAUUAUAUGCUGGCAAAUAUAUAUUAACAUCCUUUAGAGGAUAUAGAAAUUAUUUAUUAGGAAUGAUGUGAUAUAAAGGAUUAUUUAUAAAUAAGAAUUUUAUAUUUGCAACAGGUGUAAGAUUUAAAAGUAUAAAUAAAAAAUCGAAAGAUUCCCGGCUUAGUCGGGUUAAUUCAAAUAUUUGACAUAUGAUAAAUUGAGAGAAAGCUGAAAAAAAAGUAAAAGAUCUACAAGAGAAAAUAGUUAUUGCUACAUUAAAUAAUGAUAUAAAAGAAGUGUAUAAAUUACAAUGAAUUUUAUUACAAAGUUUUGAAGCUAAAAGUUUGGCAAUAAGAAAAGUUGUAACUAAUAAAAAUGGGAAAACAGCCGGAAUAGAUGGUAUAAUAUGAAAUAAUCCAAAAGAUUAUUCAUUAGCUAUCUUAGAAUUAUCCGCUAUUUUGAAAAAUCCUCAUAAUUAUAAAUCAAAACCCUUAAAAAGAAUAAAUAUUCUAAAAGAUAAUUAUUCAAAGGAAUUAAGGUCUAUAAUUAUUCCUACAAUGAUAGAUAGAGCUGUUCAAACUAUAUACUAUUUAGCUAUAGAUCCUGCAGUAGAAACUAAAUCUGAUCCUCAUUCAUAUGGGCAUAGAAAAAAUAGAUCUACUCAUGAUGCCAUUACUUCAAUAAGAGGUUUAACUGAUAAAAGUUAUCAUCCUAGAUGAAUUUUAAAAGUUGAGAUAUCUAAAUGUUUUGAUAAAUUAGAUCAUAAUUUUUUAUUAAAGCAUACCCCGAUAUGUCAUAAAUCUGUUUUAAAAGAAUGACUUAAAACUGGAGUAAUGGAAGAAUUAAAUUACAUUGAAAGAGUGGAUAAUAUACCCCAAGGAGGUAUUAUAUCUCCCUUGCUUUGUAAUAUAGCAUUUAAUGGUUUAGAGAAAUUCAUUAAAGAUGCUAAUCCCCCUAAUAAAAAAAGAAUAAAAGCAAAAGUAUAUGUUAUAAGAUAUAUUGAUAAUAUAAUUAUAACAGGUAUAACUAAAGCAUUAGUAAUUCGUAAUAAAGAAUUAUUAAUUCAAUUUUUAAAGAUUAGGGGUUUAGAACUUAAUGAAAAAAAUACUCUAAUUUCUCAUAUAAAAAAAGGAUUUGAUUUUUUAGGAUUUAAUAUUCGAAGAAUGAAAUGAAAUUUUAAACUUAAUAAUUCUAGUAAACAAGAUACUGUAUUAAUUAUUAAACCUUCGAAAGAAGCGAUAAGUAUUUUGAAAAAUACUAUUAAAAAUAUAAUAACUAUGAAUAAACCUUUAAUCACUAUAAUUAGGACAUUAAAUCCUAUUUUAAGUAAAUGAGGGGUAAAUAAGAGAAUAUCUUAUCAUUCACAGGAAACUUUUAUUAGUAUUGAACAUUAUAUUUAUAUAAAAAUGAAAAAAUGAGUAUAUUGAAAAGGAGGAUCAUUAAGAAAAAAAAUGAGAAAUUACUUGCUGACUACUGAAACAAGAAAAUGAAAUUGAGGUAUUUCUUUAAAGGAUAAACUUAUUAAUAUAAGUGAAAUACCUAUCAUAUUAUUAAGACCUUUAAAACUUGACAGAAAUCCAUAUUUGUCUGAAAAUAUUGAAUAUUUUAAUAUUAGAAAGUCACAUAUUGAAAUGGAUAAUUUCAGAGCAGCCAUUUAUAAAAAGUACAAACAUACAUGUCCUAUAUGUAAAAGUACUCUAUAUAAUGGGGAACUAGUGGAAUUGCAUCACAUCAUUCCACAAAAAGCCCAAGGAAAAUAUAGUUUAACCAAUAUACUUCCACUUCAUCAAGUUUGUCAUAAACAGGUUACCCAUGGUAACCUGUCUUUAGAAAGAUUUAAGAUAGCUUUACCAAAAAAGGCUAUCAAGAGUCGGAAUAAAAAACAAACUUAAUUUAGGGAUCCUAGGAUCUCUAAUCCCGGCAAUAGGCCGGGUAUUCGUUAAAAAUCGGUAAAAUAUACUGAAGUAUAAUAACGAAUAUUAUAUCAUAAAUUAUUGGCUAAGAAAAAGUAAGGAACGAUUCUCCAAAACGAGGGAUAGAAAUUACAUUCGAGUAUGGUUGCAUGAGCCGUAUGCGAUGAAAGUCGCACGUACGGUUCUUAUGGGGGGAAAGCCUGAGAGGGCCUACCUAUCCUAAUUGGGCCAGUGAGUUAUAUAAUUUAGUGAAAAAAAAAUAAAUUUUUAUAUAUAAAUAGAAAAAAAUUAAAUUAUAUAGGCCCGAAAGCAAACGAUCUACACAUGUCCAAGUGUAUAUAUAAUCAAUAAUAGGUUUUAUAUAUGACUCAAUAGGUAAUUGUAGCAAUAAUUUCUAAAGAGGUGUGUGUAGCUGUGACAGACAAAUCUGGUUUGCAGAUAGCUGGUUUUCUGCGAAAUAUAUUUUAGUAUAGCCUUUAUACAUAUUUAAACUGGUACAGCACUUAAAUAACUUUGGGGAAUUAGAAUAUAAUUUUAUCAAAAUAUUUAAACCUCGAAAUCAGUUAAUAAUAAUAUAAGGAGUCAGACUUAUUGCGAUAAGGUAGUAGGUCGAGAAGGAAACAACCUAGACUAUUAAAUGAAUGUCCCAAAUAUUAAUUAAGUGAACAAAAUCUAUCCUACUUUUAUAUAAAAAUAUUAUAUUAUAUUAUAUCCUAUUCAUUAAGGAAGGGAUAUUUUAUUUUAUUAAUUAUUUUUUUUAUAAUCUAUGAGGUAUUAAAUUAUAGACAAUUAGUAAGUGGGUUUGACAAUAAUCAACUUUUAAUGAACAUGUAACAAUGCACUAAUUUUAUAUAUAUAUAAAUAAAUAUAUUUAUUAAUAAUAGAGAAAAUAUAUCGGGUCUAAAUUAAUAACAGUAUUAUAGAUAUAAUGAAAAAGAUGAUCAUGAUAUGGUAGCAGAAUAUAUAAUGAAAAAUUAUAAAGAGAUUGCUGGCUUGAGUAACGAUAGAUAAUAUAAGAUUAUCCCCUUAUUCAUAAGGUUUUACUAUAAACGAACGGUCCCUAAGAUAAUUAUAGAAAUAUAAAAUUGAUGGGUAAAAGAACAAGAAAAAAGAAAUGAACCGUACUGUAGACCGACACAGGUAUGAUAAAAAGGGAAUGGGAUAACUACUUUGAAUGAACUCGGCAAAAUAAAUCGUGCGACUGUUUACCAAAAACAUAGCUUAUUGCAUACUAGUAAUAGUAAGUAUAAUAAGUGAUAUCUGCCCGGUGUUAGUUUAAUAAAUAUAAUUAUUUAAUAGAUAAUUUUAUAAAAAACUUAUAAACGGCGGUCUUAUUGUGAGGAUCCGAAGGUAGCGAAAUUCAUUGACGUAUAAUUGACGUCCUGCAUGAAUGAAUAUACGAUGCGAUAACUGUAUCCAAAGUAGACUCAGUGAAAUAGCAAUUGCGGUGAAAUUAGUGCUAUAAUAUAAUUAUAUUAUACGCCGCGUUGGUGUAAAUCCAACUUUAUAGUAUUAAUUUUUAAUAUUCCCUUACGGGAUAUAUCAACCCCGCAAAGCGGGGUUGAGGGGGGGGUUGAUCUAUAUAACCAUUAAUGGUUAUAUUUAUACAAUAACAUAAACAAUGACAAAAACAAUGACAAAAACAAUGACAAAAUUUUAUAAAUGAUUUAUAGGAUUCUCUGAUGGAGAAUCAAAUUUUUCAAUAAUACCUAUUAAAAAUAAGAAUAAUUUUAUUAAAAAUUUUAUAUUUCAAUUUAAAAUUACAUUACAUGUAGAUGAUAAAGAAGUAUUAAAUAUAAUAAAAAAUAAUCUUAAUUUAGGUAUUAUUUCUUUUGAUAAAAGUAGAUAUGAAUGUUCUUUUAUAAUAAGAAAAAAAGAAGAAAUAAUAAUACUUUUAAAUAUAUUAAUACUUACAAAUUAAAUUCUACUAAGUAUUUAGAUUAUUUAGAUUGAAAAGAAUCUUUUUUUAUAUAUCAAAAUAAAACUGAAUUAAAUGAAGAUAUUAUUAAUAAAAUUUUAUUUUUAAAAAGUAAAAUGAAUAAUAAUAGAACUGAAUUUAAAUUAGAAGCAUAUGAAAAUAAAAAUUGAGAUGAUCAUGUAGAUAUUUCUAAAUAUUGAUUAUUAGGUUUAAUAGAGGGUGAAGGUUCUUUUAAUUUUUGAAGAGAAGAUUUAAGACCUAAUUUUGUUUUAGUUUUAACUGAAGUUCAAUAUUUUUUAUAAUUAAAAAUAAAAGAUUUUAUAAUAAAAGAUUUAAAUUUUGAUGAAUAUUCUUUAUUUCAAUUAAAUAAUAGUUCUAAUAUUUGUAUUAAUUAUAAUAAAACUAGAUUUAAUUCUAAACCAAGUUAUACACUUUUAAUAACAAAUAAACAUAUUUUAAAUAAUUAUUUUUUACCUUAUAUAAAUUCUUUAAAAGAUUUGAUUUAUUUAUAUCAAAAAAAUAUAAUGAUUUUAAUAAAUUAAUUAUUUUAACAAAAGCAAUAUAUAAUGGUUUACAUUUAAAUCCAGAAUAUAAAAAUAUUAUAUUAAAAAUAAGUUAUACAAUGAAUAAAUAUAAUUUAUCGAAUAGUAAAAUAAAACCACCAAAGGAUUUAUUUUUAAAUAAAUCAGGUGUAAUUGAUUAUAAUGUUAAUGAAUUAGAAACAAAUUUAUUAUUAGAUAAUAUAAAUAAUAAACCAUUAUUUAAACAUUUAAAUGAUGGUAGAAUUAUAAAUAAAUUAACAAAUAAAAUAAUACAUCAAAAUCAAUCUUGUAUUUAUAAAAUUAUAAAUAUAAAUAAUAAUGAUUAUCAUUUAUUCUUAAAUUUAAAAGAUUUAUCUAAUUAUCUAAAUAUAGAUUCUAGAAGAUUAAGUAGAUUAUUAAAUAAAGAAUUAAUAUCUAAUGAUAAAUCACCAAUUAUAGGUAAUUAUUUAAUUAAAAGAAUUAAAGUUUAUGCUCGAUCAAAAAUGGAGAUACCUAAUAUAUAAAUAUUAAAAAAUUAAAUGUCUUAAAUGACAGAUGAGUGUUAAUGAAUCUAAUGAUUCAUACUUUAUUUAUAUAAAGUGGUAAGAAUACAAUCGAAUAAUACUUAUCCCUCGAAUAGAGGGUAAAUUACAUAUAGGCAAUAUGUAGUUUAAUCGCUAUAAAUAAAAAGGUGAAAACGGUCAAUGACAUCUUAGUUAAAGACCGUCGGCAGUUGUAUAUGUCGCUACAGACUGGUUCACCGAGGUUAGACUGAAAUGUCUGUCUAAAUGUACAGUCGAAUUCUGUAAUAUAUAAAAUAUCUUAAUGAUAUAUAAAUUAUAUAUAUAAAGGUGAAAGAUUUAUCUAUAAUUUAGAUAUAACUUAUUAGUACAUAAGUAAGAAACCUUUGUAGGUCAAACCUACUUAAGUUAAUCAGAAUUGGAAGAUGCCGUAUAUCCGUAGGUUGACAAAAAGACCCUAUGCAGCUUUACUAUAUCUUUAUUUUGAUUUUUAAUCAUAAAUUUAUUUAUGUUUAAUCUUUUUUCAUUUAUUUCAGUAGAUUAGGUUUUAUUUAUAUUUUAAAUCAAAUGAGAUACCUAUAUAAUUGAUAAAAAAAAUCUAAUUAAUAUCGUCAUUUUUAUAUUCUAUUUAAUUAUAGAAUAUAAUAUUAGUUUUACUAAUUGACUUAAGUUUAUUUAAACUUAUUUAAGAAAGAGUAAAGAGGUUAGUUUCGAUGGGGCGUCGACAUCAGCGAAAGCAUCUGAUGUGUCUAAUUACAAAGAUCUUUAUUUAAAAUUAAGACUUAAUGUAUAAUUAAAUUAAUUAUUUAAUAGUAAAUAACGUACAAUAAUUCUAUAUGGUAAAUAGAUAAAUAUAUUAUAAGUAAGGAUAACAACAUAAUUGUGCGAUGAUAAUAACACUAACAAGUGGAAUUAGUACUUACGUAGAGUGUAGUGAACAGGCAUAAACAAAUGGUAUGGAUGUCGAUAACGGAUUAACCGCGUGAGAGUUGAUAUCGUCAGCGGUGUUUGCCACCUCGAUUAAUUAUUUUCGUCGAGUUUAAAUAGGUUUAAUUGCAAGAAGUCUUUUAUUAAUAUUUUUAUUAAUAUUAUUAUGAUUAUGAUAAUUUGCAGCGAAUUAUUAUUUAUAAAAAUUAUAUAUAAAUAAAAUAAAAUAUAAAUAUAUAUAAUAAGAAUAAUAAACGUUCAACGACUAGUAGGUGAGUAAAAUAACAAUAUCCUAUCACGAAAUACCUAUAAAUAUUUAAUAUAAAUAUUUAAAGAAAUAGUCUGAACAAUAAUGAAAAUUAUUGAAGUUAAUAUUAAAAAAUUUAACGUAAACAAAUUGGUCGUCUAGACUCGUCCUCCUGGUAGAAGCAACUAGGUAGGGUAGGACUGUUCGUCCUCUAAGGAGUUACUUGAGAUGGGUUAAUUACGACGUGAGUCAGUAAUGAUUUUAUCAUCUAUGGAUUUUUAACUUAUCUGUUGCCUUAAGUGUACGCAAGGAUAAUAAGGUACAUUCCAAUGGUAAAAGAUAUAAUAUAGCUAAGAAUGUUGUGUUUACAUAUUGAAUGCAUAUCAAAUAUAAAAUCCUUCAGAUAAGUUUAUACAUUAUAGACUAUAAUGUUUUAGUAAAUUUUAUAACAAAAUAUACUAAUUAAUAAAUAUAAACAUAUACCU